GAUCGGUGCACGGAGCGGAACGGCAGCUCCUUUUCGUCGUCACCUUGUUGUCUUGACUGACUCUCGGUGCCCCUCUGCCACUGUGCCGUACGGGUACUAGCUGCUUACGAUGGGCUUUCUCGGGGCUGGCAUGGCCAUGGCGACGGCGGCGACGGAGGAGGACACGACGCGGCUGUGCGACCUCCCGGAGGCGUGCGUGGCGCACGUGCUCGCGCUCACCUCCCCGAGGGACGCGUGCCGCUGCGCCGCCGUGUCGCCCUGCUUCCGCGACGCCGCCGAGUCCGACGUCGUCUGGGCGCGCUUCCUCCCACCGGACUACCGCGCCAUCCUCCAGCUGCACGAGGCGCCGGCGCGGCGCUUCCCCCUCUCGCGCUCCGGCUCCACGGCGGGGGCGGUGUCGGCGGCGUCGAGCAAGAAGGAGGCCUUCCUCGGGCUCACCGACGCGGCCGUGCUGGCGGACGGCGGCAGCAUGGCGGUGUGGCUGGCCAGGGGGAGCGGGGCCAAGUGCGUGGCGCUGUCGGCGAGGAGGCUCAGCUUGCCGUGGGAGGACGGCGAGUUGAGCUGGACGUGGACGCCCCACCCGCUCUCCAGGUUCACGGACGUGGCCCAGCUGGUGGAAUGCACGUGCCUGGACAUCUACGGCCGGCUCCCCACCGCGGCGCUGACGCCGGCCACCGCCUACGCAGUGUACCUCGUCUUCGCCACCACGGACGCCCACCGCGGCCUGAGCUUCCCGGACCAGGAGACAACGGUUAGCGUGGGUGGCAGUGCCCCGUCCCGCUAUACCGUGUGCCUUCGCCCCGACACCGCCGAGGCACGCAAGUUCAGAGGCGGCAAAGGUACGAAUGGUGGCGUCAACGUGAAGGGGCCGGUGCUACGCGGUGACGGGUGGUGGGAGAUGGAAAUGGGGCGGCUGCGCACCGGCAACGAGGCAGUGGCGGCAGAGGAGGUGGCGGUGAGCUUUGAGAUGCUGGGGUGGUACCACAAGCACGGGCUCGUCGUGGAAGGUGUGGAGUUCAGACCCCUAUGAUCAAUCGAUACCGGGGAUGACCUUGAGUUAAUACGACGUGUACAUUAUUUGUGCUAUGGGUUCAUCUCGUCGAUGGGCUAGCAUGCGGUGUGUGUGUAGCUUGUGAAUAGUAAUUUAGACAACUUGGUUCCAGUUUUCAGUAUCUUAAUUAGUGAUAUUGGAGACUAAUUAUUCUUUUUUUUUCUUUUUUCAUUGCAUGAGAGAUAUUUUUUUAGAAAUCGAGAAAGCUAUUUUCCUA
rnacentral:rRNA from 1 species